ACUCAAAUGAAUUGACGGGGACCCGCACAAGCGGUGGAUGAUGUGGAUUAAUUCGAUGCAACGCGAAAAACCUUACCUACCCUUGACAUGUCCGAAACCCUGGUGAGAGCUGGGGGUGCCCGAAAGGGAAUCGGAACACAGGUGCUGCAUGGCUGUCGUCAGCUCGUGUCGUGAGAUGUUGGGUUAAGUCCCGCAACGAGCGCAACCCUUAUCAUUAGUUGCUACGCAAGGGCACUCUAAUGAGACUGCCGGUGACAAACCGGAGGAAGGUGGGGAUGACGUCAAGUCCUCAUGGCCCUUAUGGGUAGGGCUUCACACGUCAUACAAUGGACGGUACAGAGGGUUGCCAACCCGCGAGGGGGAGCCAAUCCCAGAAAGCCGUUCGUAGUCCGGAUCGCAGUCUGCAACUCGACUGCGUGAAGUCGGAAUCGCUAGUAAUCGCGGAUCAGCAUGUCGCGGUGAAUACGUUCCCGGGUCUUGUACACACCGCCCGU
rnacentral:rRNA from 1 species